UACAGAGGGUGCAAGCGUUAAUCGGAAUUACUGGGCGUAAAGCGCGCGUAGGUGGUUUGUUAAGUUGGAUGUGAAAUCCCCGGGCUCAACCUGGGAACUGCAUUCAAAACUGACAAGCUAGAGUAUGGUAGAGGGUGGUGGAAUUUCCUGUGUAGCGGUGAAAUGCGUAGAUAAUAGGAAGGAACACCAGUGGCGAAGGCGACCGACCUGGACUGA
rnacentral:rRNA from 1 species